rnacentral:rRNA from 1 species
UACGGGGGGUGCGAGCGUUGUCCGGAUUCACUGGGCGUAAAGGGCGCGUAGGCGGCCGGGUCAGUCGGGCCUGUAAGUGCGGGGCUCAACCCCGUGAUGGGCUCGGGACGGCCCGGCUGGGGCGCGGUCGAGGGAGACGGAAUGCCGGGUGUAGUGGUGAAAUGCGUAGAGAUCCGGCGGAACACCGGUGGUGAAGACGGUCUCCUGGGCCGAGGGCCGACGCUGAGGCGCGAGAGCGUGGGGAGCGAACAGG